ensembl:lncRNA
AUGAAAGGGAUUUUAAAAUAUCUCGUUGGAAUCAUUCUGUUUGUGUACUCGAACAUCAAACUGACAUUAGGAGCAUCUGUUGUCUUGCAAUGCAAUGGGACGAGACAGAACGAUGGACAGUUCCUCUUUGUCAUUUUGUAUAACAUUAAAGAGUACUUCAGUGACUGCGAGAAACAAUGGCUUGUCAAUGGAACUCUGACAGGUCUUUUUGAGGAAGGAAAUCCAUCUUUCAUCUCUCCUAUUACAAACCUGACCGCAAGCACUGCCACUCUGCAGGCCUGUCCUGAAAAUCUUGAGUGUCUGCUCUCCUGCCCCACUGGCAAAAUCAAUGAAAAGCAACUGUGCUCUUGUGAUAUCAGCACUCCGACUUCACUUUCUGAAGUGGGUUAUCUUGACUGGAGCGUUGGUAUUUGGACUGGAGUGAGUGUGUCUGUGGUUCUGUUGGUGUCUGUGAUUAUCACCAUUGUACUUUAUAAGAUUAAACAAAGGUCAAGAUUUGGCCCUAGUGUUCCAGUUCCUGCUGAACAGAUUGUUUUAUUCUGAAGAUGUUCCAUCAUCACACCUGGACCUUUUAUCUUCAGUUAUUCAUUCUUUGUACUCCAGAAGUAAUCUUUUUAUAAUUUCCAUCAUUUAUGUAGCAUUAGCUCUAUUAUUCUGUGUGUGUUGGCUACAUUUAGCAUCUCAGUGCUUUAUAGCUUGUAGGAUUUUGUUCAUCUUUUAAAAUAAAUUAUGACACUAACCUAAAUGAAGUUACAAGAAAUAGUGAUAUUAUUUAGUUAUAAAUGAUAUAAUCAUAUAUUUAUAUAUAAGUACUGCAUGUGUCCACCAAUGAUGUGAACAUAUUAUAAUGUGUACUAAAAAUGUUUUAUCAUAAAAGUGAAUUUUAUGUCUGUUACACAAAUGGCACAUGCUCAGCAUUUAUAUUUAUUUAUAAUAUAUAUAUAUAUAUAUAUAUAUAUAUAUAUAUAUAUAUAUAUAUAUAUACAUAUACAUUAAUAUUAUUUUUUUUUAUAUAUAUAUAUAUAUAUAUAUAUAUAUAUAUAUAUAUAUAUAUAUAUAUAUAUAUAUAUAUAUAUAUAUAAUAAAAAAUAAUAUAUUUUAUUAAAAAUGAUAACUUAACACAGGUAACUAUGUAUUCUUAUUAAUAUAUAUAUUUAUCGCUGGUCUGUUUGGUUAGUGGGAAGGAACUAGGCAGAUAGCAUGGCACUUAGUGAGCGUAAAACACACGGCAUCACUGUGGCUAGGGUUUAUUGUACUGCUGAAGCAAAUUAACUGUAUUACCAGGGCAAGUAUUUUCUAUAAACUGCUGCUGUGGAAGCAAAAUGAAAUGAAAUGCUGUGCCAGUGAGUUCACAAAUCUAAUACAUUACUAGUCAAAUCCACUCAGCACCUGCCACUGCUUCAGAUCUGGCCUUAAAUAUGAAUGUGUGUUAAUAAACAAGUAAUGUAGUACAAAUGUAGUAGAUCUACAAUCUAAAUAAUCUACAAUUUAAUUAAAGUUGGAGAUGUUUGAACUGAAAUUUUCUCUGUAUGCCAUGCUAUUUGCUGAUGAAGUACUCCUCAUAUUGACCUGGGAACUUCCCACUAGUCUGUACGGUGGCCACUGAUUUAUGAUGAUGUGUCCGCUAUCACUUUGUGGUACUGCUGUAGAUUUUAGCAGAUUUGUGUCAAAUGUCUGUUAGAUGAAAGCUUUAUAUGUGUCAUAACUGAUAUGUUAUAAUAUACGCUUGGCUAUUGUAUUGCACUGCAUCCUCUUUGAAAUGACUUCUGCCUUAAAGCACUUAAAACUGCGGUCUAGGUGAAGAAUCUUCUUUUCUGUUAAUAAAAUGCUUUAAAAACAUUUUGAUGUAUAGCUGAUUGAUUUCUCCAUUGUUCAGCACUUAAGAAGAGAAGAGCAGCACUGUGAGGGUUGUGUUUGCUCAAGUCAAUACCUCAUUAUGUCAUCUGACAGAUAGCUGAUGUGCACAGAUAUGAAUAUGGGGGGCAGACUGACCUUGAAGUGGUCUUUGAGGUCUCCAGCUCAUUCAACACCCUGCCAACAAGAAACUCCCAGUGUCAAUCAGUUCUCCAUAUAUGAAAACUGAAUUUGAUCUCAAAUGCAAAUUUUCAAACUCAAAGUUUAGCCAUUUGAUUUCUUUGUUUAAUUGAUUCGCCAUGUUCUGUCCACAAAAAGGAUAGAGCAGGCUAAAAUCACCUGUUCUAAUUUGAUUGGCAGGCAGUUUCGCAACAUCCACGAUUCAGUCUACUGCACAGAUUUUUCUGCUGGGAAACAGUUUACAUGUUACCAGUAGCAACAGAAGAACAACUUAUGGUAAACGUUCACUUUUUUAAUCUAGCCACUCAUAUGCCAGAAAAAUAAUCACACCACUUUUUCUCCCCAUACUUUUUUUUUUUCAACAGGAAAAGCCAUCGUCAAUGGUUGCUCUGUUGCCUUUAAUAACCCCUUGAACAAUUUGCUUUGUCAUCCAGGAUUUUCAUACAGUCCAGACUCCACCUACUUCUUCACCACAAAACGGUCCAGGGUAAUUUUGAGGCUUCAGAGAAAUGUUGGCUAGUCUCACAUAGCCAUAAAUCUUGAGACCAAUUCCUUUGCUUUAUCUUAGUGUUUAAUAUUUUUUUACCCUGAGCAUGCAGUGCACCAUCAUUUUCUAUUUUUGGUCUUUUUAUUGGUAUUUAAGAAGACAACGUAAUUGACAUUUAAUGAAAAAUAAGAGACAAAUGACUGAAACCAUUUAAACCAUCCCAUGCAAAGAAAUAUAAAUGCAAUUCAAAACCAAAACCCCACACCUUAUAUUCAAGGAAAAGAAGAAGAAAAUAUUAUAAACAUUCCUCUCUCCAAUAUGUGUCUUUGUUGUGCAGCUAAAGAUUUCUUGCAAAACUAGUUUGGAGUCCCUUGCCUCAACUUCGUGAAGCCAUUUUCUACUGGUUUUGAAAUUAAAGUAUAUG